CGAAGGGCAAAAGAUACAUGUGUCAACUCGACCUCCAUCCCUAGGCAGGGGUCAGACAUCAUUAUAACAGGAGGGUCUGUGGCUGACUGUGCUUGAAGCUAUCUCUGCCUCUUCCUGGCUGGACAAUCUUGAACAAGUCACUCAACCUCUCUGGGCCUCAGUUUCCUCAUCUGUAAAAUGAGGAGUAAAAUAGUACCUACUUUAUACUAUUGUUGUGGGGAAUCAAAUGAAUUAAUAUUUCUAGAACAGGGUCUGACCCUUGUCAGCUUUUUAUAAGAACCAGUUAUAAUUACUUGACAAUCAGAACCGUGUGAUGUUCAUAGGAUAUUAAAAGAGAGCCAUCAGGAUACGGGUACUAACGACGUGCAGGCACCCCGUCCCAAGUGUUCAUGCAUUUAACCCCCAAGAACACUCUUCUGAGGGAGAUGCUCUGAUCCCCAUUUUACAGAAAGAUAAAGACACUUGCCCAAGGUGACACAGAACAUAAAGGCAGAAAUGGAACCCAGGACCCAAAGACAAAUAUUUGACCCUUAGAAAGAAAAAAGAACCAAGAUGGAGGAUAGGGAAGGAGAAAGUAGCGGGAAGGCAGAGAAAGAGGGAGAGGAAUAGGCAGUGACACAGAUGCACACAGCACAGAUGCAGGACUGGGGCUUUGGGGUGAGGCAGGUGGGGGAAAUGUGGUAACACUGGGCCAGGUUAGGCUGCUCCCACCAAAUGAGGAAGUGGCUGGAAGCGAGCACUGAGGGAGGCCACCCAGGAGGUGACAAGGACUUCUAGCCCCAGCAAGAGAUGAGCUGGGGCUGGGGAAGGAGGAACCUGAGGUUAGGGCCAGCAGCAGGAAGCCCCCCUCCCCUGUCCAGGCGGAACACCCACAGCUCCCCAGGGGGCCGGGCUCAGGAGAAAAAAGGGGAAACUGGAUGCUGGUCAUGGGACAGACGCUGAGUGGCCUGUUGCGGGGGCGUAGUAUUCGAGUCUGGAAGAGGGCCAGGGCCGAGUCCCAGGCAGCACUGGCUGCUAACAUCGCCGCUGCCCAGGCCUGGCCGAGUUCCGCCGCAGAAGAAUCAACACCCCACCAUCACCACCACCACCACCAGGUCUGGAGGGAGUAGGUCCUGCAGGCCCUACUGGCACACCAGGCAUCUCAAGCGACAGGUACAACUUUACUGGUGCAGACCCCAAUACGCCGGCCUGGGCUGGUCUCCACUCCCUGGUCUCCAUUCCACCGGGAAAAGGAACGGGCUGAGAUGGAGGGCAGCAUCCUCCUCCCAGAGCCAGACUCCAGGAAGCAGAGUUGCCCCCCUGGCCACCAGAUCUUUAUUUCCUAUCAGUGGAUGACUACCCAGAUGUUUCCCACUCUGGCGUAAGGGAAAGUGCCAGCAAGCACUGUUUGGCUAGAAGGUGAGUGAGCCUGAAUUCUAGUGAUCAGCAAACAUUGUUUUCUCCCCUUCUUCUAUUGAAAUAGCAUUUGGAAUUGGGCAUCUGGUCCCCUGGCCAAGACUAUGUUUCUCAGUCUCUUUGGAGCCAGGUGAGGCCUUGUAACUGUCUUCUGGCCCAUGGAAUGUGGGAAGAAACAAAAUGGGCAACUUCUGUCUUUUUGUUUGUUUGUUUUGUUUUCAGUUUGUUUUUUGGCCACGUUGUGUGGCAUUCGAGAUCUUAGUUCUCCAACCAGGAAUUGAACCCGUGCCCCUUGCAUUGGGAGCACGGAAUCUUAACCACUGGACCGCCAGGGAAGUGGCCCGGUUGUGUUUCUGAAGGCAAAAGUGUGCCCUGCCCGUCUCUGCCCUUCCUCUUGGCUGGAGUGUGGCCCUGACACUGGCAGUGGGCACCCAUCUUAGACCACAAUGGCCAAGUUUUAUUCAUAAAAUGAAGGCCUUUUAAAUAUAAUUAAAGCAAUACUUGAUAGAUUUAUCAACUGUGUUUUACCUGUAUCAUAAACGCAGUCAUUACCAAUGAAUUAGAACUCUGCAAGCUGAUCUGAAGGGAUUUUAACUGAGAAAAGCAAGAUGCAGAGAACUGAAUCUAGUGCGAUUCCAAACAAUGACCAAAAAGAAUCCCUUAUAAAUAUAUGUAUACAUGUUUGCAUAUUUGAGUGAUGGUGGAGUAAACUAUGUAAGGAUACACCUGGGCCGCUAACGCUGGUAAUACCAGUGACCUGAAUCAGGAUAGGAGAUGGGGGAGGGUAAUCACAAAACAGGGUUGAAAGGAAAGGAACUGGGACAUCCCUCGUGACCCAGAGGUUAAGACUUCGCCUUCCAACGCAGUGGGUGCGCGUUCGAUCCCUCAUCAGGGAGCUAAGAUCUCACAUGCCUCGUGGCCAAAAAACCAAAACAUAAAACAGAAGCAAUAUUGUAACAAAUUUAAUAAAGACUUUAAAAAUGGUCCACAUCAAAAAAAAAUCUAAAAAAAAAGUGAAGGAACUGUAUGAGAACAAUGUGGGUAUAACAUGAUGCCAUUUACAUAAAAUGAUAUAAGUAAAAUUGUGUAUAUCUGCAUAGAAAGAAGUAUGAAUGUGUAGUCAAAUGAAUGCCAACUGUGGUAUCUCUGGGCAGUGGGAUUUAGAUUAUUUAUUUUUUAAAAUUAAUUUAUUUGUUUUUAUUUUUGGCUGUGUUGGGUCUUUGUUGCUGUGCAUGGGCUUUCUCUAGUUGCGGCG